AACGAACGCUGGCGGCAUGCCUAACACAUGCAAGUCGAACGAGAUCUUCGGAUCUAGUGGCGCACGGGUGCGUAACGCGUGGGAAUCUGCCCUUGGGUUCGGAAUAACAGUGAGAAAUUACUGCUAAUACCGGAUGAUGUCUUCGGACCAAAGAUUUAUUGCCCAGGGAUGAGCCCGCGUAGGAUUAGCUAGUUGGUGGGGUAAUGGCCUACCAAGGCGACGAUCCUUAGCUGGUCUGAGAGGAUGAUCAGCCACACUGGGACUGUGACACGGCCCAGAUGCCUACGGGAGGCAGCAGUGGGGAAUAUUGGACAAUGGGCGAAAGCCUGAUCCAGCAAUGCCGCGUGAGUGAUGAAGGCCUUAGGGUUGUAAAGCUCUUUUACCAGGGACGAUAAUGACAGUACCUGGAGAAUAAGCUCCGGCUAACUCCGUGCCAGCCGCCGCCGUAA
rnacentral:rRNA from 1 species